rnacentral:rRNA from 1 species
CUACGGGAGGCAGCAGUGGGGAAUAUUGGACAAUGGGGGAAACCCUGAUCCAGCCAUGCCGCGUGUGUGAAGAAGGCCUUAGGGUUGUAAAGCACUUUCAGUGGGGAGGAAGGCUUCUGGCUAAUAACCGGGAGAACUUGACGUUACCCACAGAAGAAGCACCGGCUAAUUUCGUGCCAGCAGCCGCGGU